rnacentral:rRNA from 1 species
GACGAACGCUGGCGGCGUGCUUAACACAUGCAAGUCGAACGGAAAGGCCCUGCUUUUGUGGGGUGCUCGAGUGGCGAACGGGUGAGUAACACGUGAGUAACCUGCCCUUGACUUUGGGAUAACUUCAGGAAACUGGGGCUAAUACCGGAUAGGAGCUCCUGCUGCAUGGUGGGGGUUGGAAAGUUUCGGCGGUUGGGGAUGGACUCGCGGCUUAUCAGCUUGUUGGUGGGGUAGUGGCUUACCAAGGCUUUGACGGGUAGCCGGCCUGAGAGGGUGACCGGCCACAUUGGGACUGAGCUACGGCCCAGACUCCUACGGGAGGCAGCAGUGGGGAAUAUUGCCCGAUGGGCGGAAGCCUGAUGCAGCAACGCCGCGUGCGGGAUGACGGCCUUCGGGCUGUAAACCGCUUUCGCCUGUGACGAAGCGUGAGUGACGGUAAUGGGUAAAGAAGCACCGGCUAACUACGUG